rnacentral:misc_RNA from 1 species
AAGUCGUAACAAGGUUUCCGUAGGUGAACCUGCGGAAGGAUCAUUAACACGUUUCAUAACGUUACUUACCAACCUCGUGAACUGUGACCCUUCUUCUAGGCUGUGAUGGGGAGGUAUCGCGUAGGAUAUGAAGUUCCUGUCCUUCGUGUCAGCGUUCCUCAGGUGCCUUCCCACCAUGGCUUAUGUCUACCAACCCUUUAUUCAAUUUUUAAUCUUCAAUACGUUUUAAGGUACGUGCUAACCUCGGUUAGUAAUGUCAUCUUAUUACAAACUUGUACAACUCUUAGCGACGGAUGUCUUGGUUUCC